CAAUAGCGUAUAUUAAAGUUGUUGCGGUAAAAAAGCUCGUAGUUGGAUUUCUGUUGAGAGCGACCGGUCCAUACCAUGUAUGCGUAUCUGGCUUGCUCUCGGCAUCCUCUCGAUAGACGUUACUGCGCUUGAUUGCGUGGUGCGGAUCUCGGGACUUUUACUUUGAGGAAAUUAGAGUGUUCACGGCAGGCUUUCGCCAGAAUACAUUAGCAUGGAAUAAUACUAUAGGAUCUUGGUUCUAUUUUGUUGGUUUCUAGAAUUGAGAUAAUGAUUAAUAGGGACAAUUGGGGGCAUUCGUAUCAACACGUCAGAAGUGGAAUUCUUGGAUUGUGUUGCGACGAACUACUGCGAAAGCAUUUGCCAAGGAUGUUUUCAUUGA
rnacentral:rRNA from 1 species